CUGGAGGACUAAGAAAGUGGAGCCAGUGCCAUUAUAUUGACUCCACUGAUACUAUCCUCCGAAAUGAAACGGUGGAGGAACAAGGCCUGCCUGCAAGGUGAAGCCAGGGCCUACUUCAUCCGCCUACAAGG
rnacentral:snoRNA from 1 species